GCCGAAGUGGCGGAAUUGGUAGACGCGCUGGACUCAAAAUCCAGUACGGCUAAACCCCGUGUGAGAGUUCGAGUCUCUCCUUCGGCACAA
rnacentral:tRNA from 1 species